GAUUUUACAUCUUUGGAUGCACUUGAUGAGGGAGGAAAAUAACUUAAACCUUCCAGUAUUCAAACCUUCCAUUUCAGAAGGUCACAAGACUCUGUGUGAAGUUUAAAGGCAGAACUCCUGCACCUCCUCGUGUACGAAUUUAAACAAAAGCAUGUCGACUGAUUGGUCCACUGUGUGAACAAAAAGGGUAAUAAAAUGAAAUGGAAGCAAACGGAGGAUGAAACACCAGCACUGACCAGGAGGAGGACACAAGAACAAGUUUUCCCUGCAGAAACUACCCGACAGGAGCAGACAUGUUGACAUUGCCAUGGAUAUCAUCGUGGUAUGACGAUUGUAAUGUGAACUAGCUUAUUUUUCUGGCUGACGUUAGUGAGGCUAAAUGUCACACCAUCCCGGUCCGUGCUCACAAGAUAAACCGCAAGAGACCGAUUGAGAUCAACCGAUGCACGAAUUUCAGUUCCUCAAACGUAUUCAAUCAUCAGCCAUCUUGAGGCGCCGCUGGAGGACCAGCUGCAAGAGGGACCUGGACCUUCCUUAUCAGCCACCAUGCAGUCGUACCGGCUCGGUUGCCAGGGAGAGUUUCGGGUAGAGUGUCUGGAUGAGCUAUUGGGAAAAUAGCAUGCCCAGCAAUCCGGUUGAUGCUGUUCUAUCAGAGUAAAAGCAGAUGUUUGUCCGAUGAGUAGCAGUACAGAUGUGGGAGCUGUCGAUGGGUGUACUGAGUGAAGAUAUACAUUUUUUAAGAUUAUUUUUUAAUUGAAAUGCAACCCUUAUUGCCGUGUUUUCAGAGGAGAGGUGGGAGCGCUUUAAGAGCUUCAUGGUGGAGGACUUAAUCCUCGUAGUCAACACACCGAUGUCUGCACAGUAAAAACUGACUAGAGUGUUCCCUCCCUCAGAAGAUGAAGCCCCCCUUCCCCCCCCUCACACACUGGAGAGGUCUAAUGACGAAGUCAAAGCCGCCGUCGGCCAGGGUUCAAGGGGGGGGGUGUAGCAGGUGUUUGGCUCAGCAUGCUUGCUAGAGAUGAUGUCCCAGAUACCAAAUGAUUACUCGUUCAUUGUAUAUGUUAUGUAUAAAUACAGUUUAAUUAGCACACUUCUACUCUCAAACGCAGCCCCAGCACCAGAACAAAAUGUCAAAUGUCACCACUGCAGAAGCAUCUCACUCCGUCUACGCCCACAGCUUCUUUUAAACUUAUUGAUACGGGCAAAUAAUGUUUUUUCCAUUGUACGCUGGGGGUCAGAUUAGAAGUCCGAGGGAGUUCAGCGCAGCGCGUUAAAUGAUGAAUUGUACUAUUUGUUUGUUAUUGGUAUGUAUGUAUAUGUACAUUCAUGUGUAUUUAAAGCUUUUAACAAUAUUAAGCUCAACUUUCCACUCCGAUAACACAUUUUAACAACAUGUGUACACACAUUAUACUUGUAAUGUAAUUUAAAGUUUAGCUGUGCUAUUUCCCACGUAUUGCACCUCCGUGUCUGUGAGUAGAUAAGCACACACACUAAUUGGCUUUUUCUGUUCAGCCGGAUAAAUGCCACAGAUCAGCAGCCACUGCUGGCUCCACUGAAAAUAAUGAGCUAAUAAAGAUAAGGAUCAUGGGAAGAUCGCAGAUUGGGGACCACUCAUAUUCCCAGUGACCGUAGAGGCCCGUUAUUGCCCCUAUUGUGAAGUAAUUACAGACAGGCAGUUCUUUCCAUGCCAGCCUUUUAAAAUGAAGGCCAUGGACACCUUCACGCGAGGCGCGAAUGACCUCGCCUCUAAGACCGUGAAUUCUUAUUGUUGGGGUUCCAUUUAUUCUGCUGACUCAGUCUUUUCUUUUCAAGGCCUGAUUUUGAAAAUAGUCAAAAAAACCAAACACCACCUUUGACCUUUUGGCAGCUGGAAGAACAAAACUAAAUGUGCUUCUAUCAGAUCUUCUUGUGUUUAAAACUUCAUCCAUAUCAAAUGUUGUACAAUCUCAAAAAUGAAAAUGCCAAGAGCAUAACACAUCACACAAAGAGAAGAAACAAACCCAGACACACACACACACACACUGCGAAAUUGAAGAUGAUGUCAUUGGGGCCGCUGUGUCCGGUCCAGUCAAGAUAAACGUUCUUUGGACACUCGUAUGUAUAACGAGCUGCUCGCCAUAUAUUCUCAGUUUGUUUCCAACAUCAAUUCAACCACAACUCAAGAGUGUCGUGUUGUUAACCAAAUAUUUAUUUAGUGUCACUUAAUUUUACACUUUUGUUCAGAUAAAGGAAGCAAUAGUAAUAAUCCAGGAAGUCAUAGUGGAGACCUUUUUACCGACAAAAAACAUUGAGUCAUCGCUAAUAAAAAUAGCUGCAGUUGUAACUUCUCAGCAUCUCCAAGAGGAAAUCGAAGCAUUGUUGUUACUUUUAGUCUUUUUUGACCAUUGUACCAAUACAAUAUAUUCACUUCACAGUUUUCAGAUAAGGACGAGCAGAACGUCAUAAAUAUUUUAGAAGCUGAAACCCAGCAAAUUAAAAAUUAAAAAAUGAAUAAUUUAUCAUCAAAAUGGUUUCUAAGUAACUUCCUUUCAACUGAUAAUUAAAGUAGGUUGUCAUCUAAACAUCCGCACAGCCGCUGCAGAAAUAUUAGAACGCUUCUAUCCGACGUGGUUGUGUACUAAAAACGGGGCUUAACACCUUUUUUUAUUCUCUGCAAAACACCCUCACCCAUAAUAGGCUCUCAUCUCCGAGGAGAGUCCCUAAUCCACUGAGAAUUAGUUUGCUCGAUGCAUUCUGUGAAUCACGUAAUCCCCCCUCACACAACCUGCUCCGUGUGAAAGGUUCGGAGGCACAAUGGGAGGCAGAGCUUCUGCAACGCUGAAGUCACGGAGCCGAGCCGCCAUUUUCGACGUGAAAAAAGCAGCAUCUUUAGGGCGAUAUUCGCAUCCCUGUGCAGGAGGGGCAAUAAGGUUGUUUGAUAAGGUCUUCGCUUAUCUUAUCCACGGCUCAUUAAACAGUCAAAUUUAACGGGGAAAUUGGAAAUCUUUCGGCCACUGCAAACUGUUAAAAGAGUACAGCUUCCUGACCUGCGGAGACUCUAAACAUCGAGAACCAGAGCCACAAUGUGUCUUCUGCUGCAGUUUUGUCUUUUUACAGCUUGCCGUGUCCUUUUUCUAACUUUUCACAUUUCAGAGAGCAGAUGGGUUACAGCCAAGGAUUGGCCCGCUGCUGUUCAUUCUCAUUCCCUUUUUUUUUACCACUGCUUUCCACUCUGGUCGUUCCUACAUUGAGGUAAUUACCAUUCAGCGCUCUCCCGAAGCUCUGGCUGUAAAAUUCAAUAAGGAACCAAGCAAGAUUUAACUCCCAAACUCCCAUACGUUGAAGCAGUGAAGCCCUGUUCAUUGAUUUAAUGCUAGCAUCCUCCUUCUCUCCUGGCUGAUAGAAGCCGACUUCUAUCCGUGGAUCCGUGGGCUUUGUUUUUUCGAGGAGGACCGUGGAGAGAUCUAAAGUGUACAGAGCAUCUUAUAGACAGUAUUUCAGUUGUGUCCGUUAAACAAACGGGCACUAAAGAAAUGAUUCAAUUGAAAUAUAUCUGACUGAGAUGAUGCAAUCGUACCCGUUACGUUAGCUCUACUCGCUACUUUGCUGAGUCACUGGCUUGGCGGGAUUAUGCCCGUUGACCUGUUUUCUAAAUGGAACAGAAACUUAAUUUUAUGUCAUUAAUAAUUGUGCUCAUCCAAAGUUCAAAUAAAUCACGUCUAUAUUUUUGAGGUCCGAGCCGGCGAACACAUUUUUGUUAAAAAUACAUUUCUCAUCUCAGCCUAUUGUCGUUUCUUUGUUUUUUCUUCUUCGUUUUGUACUCAAAAUGAGCACAUGGGAUCGGACUGAAGAGCUGUACAUCUAAACUGGAAUAAUGUUAAGCACCAUAAUUAUAACCCUCUAAAGCACUGACUCCCGCUUUGAACCCACUCAAACAUUCACUUGACCCAGUGGAGAUUUCAGUCAUUAACAGCUCUACGGAGCACAACGCAAUCACCUUAAUUGAGUCAUUUUUCCUUGUUAAAAUCUGCAUACCAGGACAAGCGUUUCCCGGGUGCACAGCAGGACGUCUGACACCAGGAUCACUUCAGCUGAACCAGAUAGUGUGUUUGGAUGCAGCAUUCAGCCACAACUCACCCAGUAUCCCUUUGUUGAAGAUCACGUCCGUUUGUAAGGAUGCGAGGAAAAACACAGUCAGGAACUCGGGCUUGCGGUAAAACCUCCAUUACUUUAAAGAAUCUUUUGAAUGAAUGUCAGAUGAUGCAACCGAAGACCGAGGCAGUGAAACGAUCACGCAUUCCAAUAGCAUCCAAAUAAACGUGAGAACACGAAGACUUCUCUGUGAUCUUGAAUUAGCAGAGCGGAUGUGGGCAUGGCCGUGAAUCCUAACUUCAAAAUAUCUACAAGCUCCCUACGAUGUAGACUUCAACGUACGAAAACUCAUGUGUUAUUUUCUAAUAAUUAGAGAACAGUUCAGUUGAGAAGUUGUGUCGCUGGUAUUAAUGCAAAAACAGCCGUACAGCCGCGUGAACAAUGUCAGACGGAUCCAUUUAAAUGAACAUUUUGCCUCCGCUGAGUACAUUUCCUGCCACAAACCACCGAGCGCUUCUCUCCCCGAUUGUUCUUGAUGAGGAGAAGUCCCUGAAGUCCUCUGUCAGUACGUGGUGAGACGCAUCUGCUAAUAGCUGUCACAAUAUGUGUCCUGGUGCAUAAAAUGUGUAAAUAGAGAGACUACAUGAGACAGUGACAGAAUUAAUUAAGAUAAAACAUUUUCCUCACAGCUGGACAUUAAAAUGAAGCAAAUUCUCAUCAAUAAUAGUCAUUUUAAAUAAAAACAUUGAUUUUUUUUAUUGGCCUAUUAUUGGGAAUACGAGGAAGGUUGACAGUGAGCUGGACUUUAAUCAAUAAUUAAAAGGGUAACAAGUUUGAUUUUGUUUAAUGCACCACAGCGGGAACGACUUUAACGAUAAAACGGCUGCUGAUCAAUCGCAUUGACACAAAAGUUACUUUGCCGGUUGUUGACAUUUCAAAAUUUAUUUUCUGACUCAUUUAAAUGAUUAUUUUCUUCACCACAUUUUCCCAAAAGGGCUUCAAGAUAGACCAGCAAGGAAACAGUAUGAACAAUAAUAAUUAGACUUUAUUACAUAUCGAGUUUGCCGUACAAAAAGAACUGUCCACCAUGUUUUUGGAAACGGCUCAUGCACAUCUAUGAUGCUUAUAUUGCCUAUAUUUACGUUCCCUGGUGUCACAAACUGCUCAAUAUCUGAUUCAAAGCAAUUGACUGUAAGUUCCUAACAGUAAUCGGGCUGGACAGAUAAAUCUUGGCUAGCGGUGUUCCCUGGGUUAUGUUGGAUUAAAGCAGGAUGCUUUGGGGUCGUGAUGUCACGCACUGUUAAAUGGACUUAAUACACAGCGAAUUCAGGGUAGGACACGAGGACAGCGGUCUGAUCGACACGGAAAUCACUCAAUCAAAUGAUACACAUACAUACAAAACACACAAUCCUUUGAUAUUUGUGGUUUAUUUUUAUUUCACAGCUCCGGGUGCAGCUUUCACACCUGCUUCACAGACUUAAAGAGACCUGCUAGCCCGGCAACAUCAAGGCUAAAGAAUAACCCCAAAGCAGGACAGAUGAAAACCUCUAACUUCUCUGGAAAACACCUUUAUGUUUUAUUGAGGCCAAAACCCACAUAGCAAUAUUUCCACAUGACCACGAAGGUGGGCUUGAGCCAAGAAGACAUUCUUACAUUGACGAAUGACCAAGGCUACCACGGGCCCUUGAAUCUGUGAACAAGCGUGCGUCGUCUCCCGCCUGUCGGCGCCGUUCCCUCAGUUGGCUUCAUGAAAACGUUCGACACGUCCACCUUCAGUUAGACGUCAGUCAGGAAGGAAGGAGGGCAACAGCUGGUGAACAUUCAUGUGGAUAUCGAUUACACGUUCUGCUUUUGAGGAUGUGCAUCCCAUCGUGUUGUAAAUAUGAAAAAGCGAUAUUCAGGUGUUACUUCAUGUUGUAAUAUAUUGUAAAAUAUUGACACAUAUGCAGCUGCGUCUGUUCUGCAGCGCUAACGAAGGCCUGCGUUGUGUUGUUUAUGCUGGCAGCCACCACUUCACGCACACUGCAGCGUGCUGUUAGAAUACUGCAUAAUUCCCCUCGUCCCCAGAUCCAAAUUAGCCAACGUGCUUUAGCAGGUAAUUGUCGGUUCAGUGGGAUGUUGCCUUCGAAGGCUGAAGACCUCGUAAAGAUGUGGAAGCAGCGGCGCCAGGAAGGAGAUAUUAGUCCCCUGCCAGCCGCAACAGGGUACAAAUGUGCCUCAUCAGAAGAGAAGCUCAGUGCGGCCGAGUCGCCCUCUGAGAUGAACAUUUCCUUGGGUAAAUUUGACACUCUGGGAGAUCUGCUAAUGAUCUCCAGCUCCGACCUUAUUGUGUCCGUUAGAUUAAUGUCUCGCUCGAGGAGGGGAGUGAAACCUCAUAUCUGUCGUCAACAAAUAAACUGUAUUUCUGCCCUCUCCACAAGGCCAGUUUAUUGGUACCGCUCCAAGAAAAUGGCAUUCAACCAGGAAGAAGAAAAAUAUAUUCUUUGGAGCAACUGAAUAAGGCCGGUCGGGGAUCCUGCUGUAGGAAUAUUUAUUAGCGUUCCCCAUGUUUGCAGAUUACAGUGAGAAUGCAAAUCCUGAACAUUGUGCCGAAGGGCGUUAGAUAAGAUUCCUUGGGCGGCGAGCAGAGUAGAUACAAAGUUAAUGGCGCAUGGAUAAGAGGCAGAAGCCGGUUGUUAUUUUGUCUUUUUUAAUGACUUAAAAUACAUUGGAUUCCCUCUCGAUUUUUGUAAUUGAAUGCAGAGCUUGACACAAGCUGAAGCCGAUAGCAGCAGUCUUUUACCUGACCAGUGGCCCCUGAGGGGGUCGGACUCCCAGCGAGGAGACUUUGUGACACAGUUUUGAACUUUCAGGGGAAAACUACGGAAACCGACUUCAUGUAAAAGGUAAAAGGGAAGAUGAAGCCUCCGUAGAGUCUUUGGUUCAUCUCCUCGCUGCUUUGGAUGACGCUCAGUGACGUUCUGUUCAUAAGUCAUUAAUAUAAAACAGGGCUGGACCGAGUGGUCACUUUCCGUUAUUAACGAGGACGGCACCUUUUUCAAUAACUGAAACUCAUAUUUCUAUAGCCAAUUAUUUUUUCUAUUUAGCUGGAAUUUAAACUUCACUAUCUCCAUUUCAGUUCUGUUUAAGUAUUUUCUUGUUCUUAUCAUGCGGGUUUAUGCCGGCCAACGUGAUGUUAAAUCCUGGCAUACGCCUUGGAAAAAUGGUUCAGUGCAGAAGCCAGGUCCAGUCGUGCCUCACAAUCUACAGUCUGUUGGUUUUAUUUUCUCUUCUGGAGAGUCAGAAGAAGAAGUGGGAGGAGGAACAACUCAAGUCUAUUUCCCCCUUGCAGACAGCACCUUCCCGUAAUGAUGCAGUUAUUUGUACAGACCCCUCCGCCACAACCAUCUACAACUGUAAGCCGACUGUGAACGUCCUGCUUCCCGUGACGAAGGCAGGAAACCGCGCGAGGAAAUGUGCAUCUGACAGGUUUAAUGGGCCGUCGGGGUCUCAGGCGGGAAAUAUCACACUUACUCAAUUUAACGGGGGAUUAACGUCAACGGACAGAUCGAGGUGAGAGAUUGUAACUUUCCCUCCUUUCUCAUAAGAUUCCGUGGAAGUUAGGGGAGAGAUUGAAAGAUGAAGAGAAACGCUGUAAAACAAUAUGAGGUCGAUUGAUUGAUUGUAUUGAUUGACGACGUUUGGAUUUUGUGGUGGUGGGGGGAGAGGGGGGGGCAAAGGGGUGGUUGUAUUUCAUCAUUAACAGAGGCUUCACAGAUGAUCCUUUUCAUUAAAUGUUCAUUAGCUGUAACACAUCUGUUUCCAGCUCGUGACGAGAAACAAUAUUUCAUUCAACAAAAGUGAUUGAUUGAAAACGGAGCGGUGCAUUCUGGGGGACGGCGCUUCUUCAGCUCAUGUGCAGUUCUUACGUGGAGUUGAAAACGUUGGGCUCAACUCUGCACACCUUAUAGGCUCACAGCACAGUUUGUUUUAUUCAAGAUUUACUCCUUUAAGAAGGUCACGUUAAACGCUAAGAAGCAGUGCUUCAACUACGAUGUUGUGCUACAUGAUCUGAGAGCUCCUCUACAGUUGCUUAAGCGACGGGAUUUUAGCUGACAAACACAGGUGGCGGCUGUGGGGCGAUGGAGGGAGUACAGAUGGAUUUCAGAGGUAAUUGGAGAUGACAUUAUACGACUGCAGUCGGCAUCAAAGAACUUCUCACCAAAGGAGCUCCUGGUUUCCUGGGAAAAGGUUUGGAGAGACCCCUGAAGACCGCAGGCACCCGGCUCCCAUUUCCAUCUUCUUUAGUGAAGUAGACGCCUGACAACCUGCUGACAAUGUGCGUCAUCACGCAUCAGCUGUCACCGAGGGGAACAUGAAAGUGUGUGAUUGACAGAAGCAUGGAUGGCAAGAAAGUUGUAGGUAGAAGAAUGAGGAGUAAAAUGUGAUGGAGUUUUAAAUGGCUGGAAUUCAAGUUUUCUCUACAUAAUUAUUUUCUUUUUGCAAAAGAAGUACAUCUCAUUGCAAGAGGCUAUGCAUCUGCUAUCAUAGUGUAGUCAGCAGAUGUGUGGGCAAUGCUUGGCCCAUGAUUUGCAUCUUAAGAGACGAGUUGCGUUUCAAACCAACAAGGAGCUAUUUAACUGUCAGACAAGUCUUAACUCCCAAUAAUGACCCAGUGCUGCUGCCAGACAGCAUACAGUAUUUAUAUUUUUGUAAAUUGUGGUAGGCACUUACUUACCAGGCAGCUCAUUCAUCUCCCAGGCACCAAACAGGAGAAACGAAACGAGCUUCUCACCCCUACAACCACCCAGACGGCCUCCAGGCUGUGAGCUACUAUCAGGCCGAUCCGCUCGGCAGAACCGCCGACCCCGCGGCGAGAAAAGAGGAGAGAGGGAGCUGCUUUCCACCAGUUUUCCUUCUUCACCGCUGCCUAAUCAGUCCCCCACCCAUCACCCGCACAAACAAACAAAACACAGACAGAAGGUGCAGCGCAACCCUCCGGCAGAGCGGUACGAAGCAGCCACGUUGAUUAUCGCGUCCUGUGAAAUGAACUUGCACCGUCCUUCUGACUGCUGGACAACGAGGAUUAAGAGCCAACGAUGACGAAAUGCUUCAGCGCAAAAGACGCAGCUGGCUUUAAUGUCGCAAACCUGCUCGUUGUCACAUAAUUAAGAAGAUGGAAAUAUCACUGAAUGUCAGUGGGGAGGCUGUGUUAAAAAGUGCCAGUGGGACGUGAGGGUUAAAGCCACGCAUGUCUCAACUACCGCGCCAACAACACGUACACAUUGCAUGCAUUUAGUUAUUUUUUUUAUUUUGGUCAGCGAUUCAUUUCCGUGUCGUCCGCCACGACCCACACAGAGGGAAUAUUAACAAAGGAAAAGCCCCAUAGUCAGGAUUAGCAAGGCUUCCCCAAUUAUCUUCUUUCCCUUUCCAUGGAACCAUAUCAAAGGGUUUUUGCGCUCGCUGGAGAGAAAAAGGCAAGAAAAUGCGUUUAAAUGCAUUAGAAAUUAUUUUCCUGAUGCUCAGAACAUAUAUCUUAUGCCUUGUAUGCCUCGUACAUUUGAUAAUGUGAAAUAUUUUCAGAAUUUAAUGUCAAAAUAGCAAAGUUGGGAUGUGUGUUGUAAAGUUUGGGGGCUUCCACUUGUCGGAAGUCUGUUUUUACAUCACAUUACAUAACGGUUGAACUGCCUCAGGCGUCUGGCAGAUGUUUCACUCAGAACAGCUUUCUUGUUGUGGGUGUGUGUGUGUGUGUGUGUGUGUGUGUGUGUGUGUGUGUGUGUGUGAGAGAGAGCUUAAGCUGCGUGCAGGUGAAGACGAGAAAAUUAUUAACAUUUUUUACUUUAGAGAACAAUAAAACCCGUCCUCGUCAUCCUCUUUACACUUGUUAACUACAACAAAACUUGUUUAAGUUGGGAAAUCCAAAUGGUGCGAGGUAUUGCCUUCUAAUUUCACUGAGCGCAUGAUUAAAACGGUUAGUUUAGGAGAAUAUACGAGCAUCAUAACAAGUGUGCGCCUGAUACACUUGGUCGCCCCUCUAAUCUUUUUUUAACGAUAUUUUCAAUGCAAAUCGUUAAAUAAAUAAUGAAAUCAGUGUAUCGUGUGCCAGUAAAUGAUUAAUGUCUCUGAACAAUGCAAAUCUUUGAACAACCGCCUCAGAAUUACACGCUCCGUUGAGAAAAUAAAAGGUGCAUUUCCUGUGCAGCUCUGCAAAUAUCUACUGCGGUCUGAAGACCGAUGUGAUGGUAUUAGGAGACCGCUGCACCCCCCCAAUUAAAUGAUACCAAAGCAAUAAACACAUUCGGUUCCCAGAGUCCUUUCCAUCAAUUCUCUCAAAAUAUUCCAUUUGUUCAUCUUUUCUCUCCGAUCACAAAAUACGACCUCAUUCCAGGAGUCAUCCCGCCUCCGGUUCCGCUGAAUGUGUUCAAUCAUCAAUAUACCAUUUCAUGGAUUUCUUUCUAUAGAAAGGACACACGCACUUCUCUGUGGUUUUGUGAGACACGCAGAGCAACGUUGAUAUAAAAUGUUUCCCCUCUUUGUGAUUUGAUGGGUUUUUCUCUGGUGGCUUGCUGCUCAUAUUGAGGUCAUUCUUUUAUGUUGCCACACACACACACACACACACACACAUUAACAGACCUUAAAGAACUCCUGUGUGCCCGUCAGGACCCUCAAACGCACCACCGGGCAUGCAGACUACUUUGGUCAAGGCUUCAGUCUCCCAUUUUUGUUUUCUUUUAUAACCUGCACUGAUUGUACAUGUUGCGUAUGAACAUGGAUCUUGAAAUGUCAUUUGCAGGAGAAGUGGUUUUGGCAGCUGUAAAGUUGGCACAGUUUACUCGGUCUAGUCUGAACACUAAAAAACUAAGGUUCUAUGCAGCACACUGAAUUCUAACAACCUAAAAAAAAGUAUAAAGCUUUGGACCAAAACUAAGACAAAUGAAGUUGGGAUUUACAAAACAUGCAAAGAAGCCUUUGUUAAGGUCUUUGCUCGACAUUCUCCAUUUGAAUCAACAUGAUGUACCAGUCAGCCAAAGUAAAUAGAACUGAACUUAACUUUAAUGUCAGUAAUCCAGCAGACCAUCUGUUUGGCUGUCAGGCCGAUGUUCACGGGGGAAUCGACGCAGCCGCUGAAUAGUUUUCCUGCAUCACGCGCCAAGCGAGGAUGAAGAAUCAUUGUUCCUGCCUCUGUCGACCUCAAAAGAAUCCUGUACUUCACAUAGUGGCAAUUACAAAGUCGUGCAGCCUUUCAGGACAGAUGGCAGCUGCUUUAUGAAAUGAUUCACCGGCCUGAAAGAUCACUGCCAUCCAUUGCUCAGAACAGCGCGCAGGAUGAGCUCAAAUCCUCCAAAAGGUUAAGAUUAAGUUUGCGAUAGUAACGACGCUGCUGUAACGGAUGUUUAUAAGACACAAAGCAGUUUAUCCUCCCACGGUUAUGGAGGGAUUGGCUGCUGUUUGGUAACCACUCAUUCCACAAUUGGAACAUUGGUUUCCUGUUCAAGCUCAUUUUUAUCAACUGUUGCAAGGUCAUAAAUGCAUCCGAUAACACCUGGAAAUCAUUUCUCCAGUCCUUGCAAAAAUGUUCCCAGAAUGAAAUACUAAGUUAUCCAUCAGAGCAAUGAGCAGCAUCUGGAUGAGUCAGGCGGCACUCAAGACUUUGUUUACUUCCCCUCCUGCCCUUGGAAGCAGGUUAGAGGCCGCGAGCACUACGCCGUCUUUAGGACCAACAUCAACUUGGCACAUCUCCGGGAGGAAGAACCCUACGCCGCCACAUUGCAUCUAAUUAGACUAAUUCCAUUUUCCAAGUGCCUUCUCUCAUGUUACCAAACCUUUCUGUGUUUUGCGUAGACAGCGAUAUCACUGCAGUGGGAAGGGUCGUGAAACGUGGCGUUAUCUACAGACACUUCAAUCAGUCAGGCGGUAAUGAAGUCGCUGCUGGUUGAGUUGUUUAUUGAGGAGUUCCUCGCCAUGCUAAUGGUGUUUUUGCCUCAUUAAGCCGCAUGGCGUGGGCAGAUACUCUGCGUUUGGGGCUACCUGUGCUGCUUGCACCGUGGCUUCAGGUAACGAUUUGCUUUUGCGUCCUGUUGAUGGAACAUAUCACCUUCUGUUCAACAUGCCUACGGAGCUCAUCAGUUCCAUAACAAUUUGUGUUUAUUUCACCCGUAUGACAACAAUAAGUUACCACAACAAAGUCCAUUUUAGCGUCGUGUCAUUAUCUCCGUGAGAGCGUUCGUCUCUUAAUAUGACAUAGUCCCCCAAACACAAGCAGAGGGGGGUGUUUGUCUAAAAAUGAAUUAGCCUGACAGUUAUUUUCUUCAUCUGUAAACAAAACCUUCAACUAAGUAGUGAGUGAGGAGUGCUGGCCCGUAAAUCAUGAAGCAUCUCUGCGGAGACCUUUACCUUUAACGACCACAGUGAUGGAUGGCGGCGUUGGUGCAGGUUGAUGAGGUCAGAGGAGGAAAGCGGAAGAACCUUCAUAGUGCACACAGGGAACAAGUUGUGUUGAACCUUUAACGAUGUGUUUCUAGCUGCAUCGCGGUGCAUUUGAGGUCGGCAUACACACUAACGACCACAAACCCGGUCCACUUUCUGCAGAGGGGGGCGUCGGCAGAACUAAAGGUUACAGUCGCUGGCAAAACAAACUGCUGCUCUGGCUUCUUUUUUUUUAAAUGUUUUUUUAGUGCGUACGUACUCGCUAUCCAUAUGAAUCUAAUGCUUUAAAAACCUCCUGUGCACAACAGUCUGCAAUUAGUCUAAAAUAUUACACGGUUCGUUUAGUUGCUUUGGAGAUCUUCGGUUUUACAGCCGCUCAAAUGGCCUCUAAAUCUCACCGUCGAUUCAGCCUUCAUUGCCGCUGUUUCCCCACAGCCGUGUUUGUUAAUGUUCUUCUCAAUUUUUAUCACCACUUAUGGUGUUUUCCCUGGAUCAUAAAUAACAAUUUAAUCUAAAAAAAAUCCCCACAUUUGAAGUUCUUUCUCUAAAAGUGUUCCGUUGUGUGCGUUUACGUAGUCUGGGGCGGUCGACGCGGCGCAGAAUGUCACCCAGACACCAUCACGCCGCCGUAUGAGGAUAUGAACUGAUACCUUAGUGGUACAUUGUGCAGGGAAUGUGCAUUUUCCCCAAAACAUUUUAUCAAUGAAAUUACCAACUUGUUUUAUUUGGACUAUUAUUUGGAUUUAGAAAAACUCAACAACCUUCUUUCUAACAUGUUUGACUUAAUGUAGUUCCGGUGCUUUAUGAGCACUGUAUUCCUGAGACAACAUGAUUGAUGUCGACAUAGUGAUUAAAACUGCCUCCUACAAAGUACAUCACUCGACUCUCCGGCUCGACUGGCGCCGGGGCGAACUCAGAGAUACCGCCAAGAAAAAAGAAAGCAUCGGACAAACGAUCGACGUAGAAAGUAUGCCAGAGAGCUCAGAGUUUACGAGCCGAUUUGACACAUUUAUUGCUUUGCUCUGAUUUAAUUUUUCACCUGGUCAGAGAUGGUUGUGUAUCACCGCGGCGUUAAAGUGUUGUAGACCUGCAGAAUACGACGUGUGACCCUCAUGGAUUCAGCCAAAGCCAAACAUCUCAGCAUUUGCGACUCUUCCUUAAUAAGCCCAGUGUUCUAGAUGUUUAGAGAAGGUUGCACAAAGGAUGUAUUUUGGGGUAAUUGUUUAUUUUGCUAAUUAAAGCCACCUUGCUUAGUGAAAUGUAGAGGGUACAAGUGAAAGACACAUGCAGUAUUUUGUUAAGCUUCUGGGAUACUCAAUAAGAGCGAGGUUACUUUUAAAUAGCUUGAAUCCACAUUAGACCUUAGCUGGAGAACGGUCGAUAGCCAGCGUGCUCUGUGCAUGCAGAACGUAACAAAAGAGUUUUCUAAAGGAACCAAUAGGUGUCAGUGGAUGAGUUUGCCACUGAUGGAUUAAACCCGUGACUUUCUAACUACAGCACAGUAUCUUCAAACCUCAAGGGCGCCCCGUCUCUACUCCAUCAAAGUCAUCAAACUGUGACAGACAUCUCCACUUUUGCUGUUUAAGGACAAGAAUAUUUAGGUUUUUUUUUGUCGGUUGUCCUUGGACGUCACUUUGUCAUCUCACUUUCUGCCGCAUCUCCUCCUGCUUGCCAAGACGUCUGAGUGCUCCCAGGCUCGGGUAUCCCAUGUCCUCUGAAGCUCAGUCGAGGAGAGAUACACUAAAACCGGCAGGAUUAAGGGUUUUAUUACUGUGUGGCUCAAUGGAUGGAGCACCGCCCUCACGCCGCCAAGGUUAGGGGGCCGCCGCUGUUGUGUGACAGCCCAUCAAAAUCCCGAUCCGGCCAAGACGCUGCCCAGGAAAAAAACACUUGUUUUCCAAAUCCAAUAUAUAAUGCAGGCAGGCACCGGUCGCACAUGGCUGGUUGCUGUGGAAACACAGUCUGUGCGCGGUGGACACAAGUGAAAUUGCCAAAUGCAAUGAAGUGUGUUGUAUGUUUGUACCUGAGCAGCGUUAAUAACCUGAAUAGAGGGGAGUGGAAAGCGGUCUCACAGCUGCCAUUCGUUAUUUUCAUUAGUUUUUCUUUAAAAGGGUUUUCAUUACCAAUUUCCAUUGGCCAGUUAAAGAUAAAAUGAAAGAAAUAUAAAUGAAAUAUCAAAAAACAUCACUUAGUACAACAGCAAUAAGGAUCGAGGUAGUUGGUCCUAAACCACCUCAUCGACUUUAUAGAAAAAGUCUUGUUAAAAGGGCAGAAAAUAGGUCCAAUUUUAUAAUAUAUAUAAGUUAAACAGUUGUCUUUGUCAUUAGUAAUUCAAGGAAAACCUCGAAACAGUUAGUAGAGUAG
ensembl:lncRNA